rnacentral:rRNA from 1 species
CAGCCGCCACGGUAAUACGAAGGGUGCAAGCGUUACUCGGAAUUACUGGGCGUAAAGCGUGCGUAGGUGGUGGUUUAAGUCCGUUGUGAAAGCCCUGGGCUCAACCUGGGAAUUGCAGUGGAUACUGGGUCACUAGAGUGUGGUAGAGGAUAGUGGAAUUUCCGGUGUAGCAGUGAAAUGCGUAGAGACCGGAAGGAACAUCUGUGGCGAAGGCGACUAUCUGGGCCAACACUGACACUGAGGCACGAAAGCGUGGGGAGCAAACAGGAUUAGAGACCCCGGUAGUCCCUGUCUCUUAUAC